GGGGCUGAUAUGGAUUCGACGGGAUAUACGAAACCCAAGGUGCAUGCCGAGGUGAGGCUGGCCUCGUAAAAAGCCUCAACUUUAUAGUUGCAAACGACGACAACUACGCUCUAGCGGCUUAAUAACCCGCUGUGCCUGCCCCCCAGCGCUUUGUCUAUGAGACUGGAUCAGGGCAGCUAACCCUAAAGUAGACUCGCGUGGAUGCUUCGCCCGGAGCUGAAGCGUUAAAACCAAUCGGGCUCGUUAGUGCUGAAGCCUGUUAGUUGGCGUCACACUGAUUAACUAAAUAACUGACUAAGCAUGUAGUACCGAGGAUGUAGGUAUUGCGGACGGGGGUUCAACUCCCCCCAGCUCCACCA
rfam:Idiomarina planktonica strain CGMCC 1.12458 genome assembly, contig: Ga0171582_11